UGCAGUCGAGCGGGGGAAGGUAGCUUGCUACUGGACCUAGCGGCGGACGGGUGAGUAAUGCUUAGGAAUCUGCCUAUUAGUGGGGGACAACAUCUCGAAAGGGAUGCUAAUACCGCAUACGUCCUACGGGAGAAAGCAGGGGAUCUUCGGACCUUGCGCUAAUAGAUGAGCCUAAGUCGGAUUAGCUAGUUGGUGGGGUAAAGGCCUACCAAGGCGACGAUCUGUAGCGGGUCUGAGAGGAUGAUCCGCCACACUGGGACUGAGACACGGCCCAGACUCCUACGGGAGGCAGCAGUGGGGAAUAUUGGACAAUGGGGGGAACCCUGAUCCAGCCAUGCCGCGUGUGUGAAGAAGGCCUUAUGGUUGUAAAGCACUUUAAGCGAGGAGGAGGCUACUUUAGUUAAUACCUAGAGAUAGUGGACGUUACUCGCAGAAUAAGCACCGGCUAACUCUGUGCCAGCAGCCGCGGUAAUACAGAGGGUGCGAGCGUUAAUCGGAUUUACUGGGCGUAAAGCGUGCGUAGGCGGCUUAUUAAGUCGGAUGUGAAAUCCCCGAGCUUAACUUGGGAAUUGCAUUCGAUACUGUGAGCUAGAGUAUGGGAGAGGAUGGUAGAAUUCCAGGUGUAGCGGUUGAUAUGCGUAGAGAUCUGGGAGGAAUACCGAUGACGAACGG
rnacentral:rRNA from 1 species